GAAUCUGCCUCUAGGACGGGGACAACAGAAGGAAACUUCUGCUAAUCCCGGAUGAGCCGCAAGGUCAAAGAUUUAUCGCCUAGAGAUGAGCUCGCGUCUGAUUAGCUAGUUGGUGGGGUAAAAGCUUACCAAGGCAACGAUCAGUAGCUGGUCUGAGAGGAUGAUCAGCCACACUGGGACUGAGACACGGCCCAGACUCCUACGGGWGGCAGCAGUGGGGAAUUUUCCGCAAUGGGCGAAAGCCUGACGGAGCAAGACCGCGUGGGGGAGGAAAGCCUUUGGGUUGUAAACCCCUUUUCUCAGGGAAGAAGAAAGUGACGGUACCUGAGGAAUCAGCCUCGGCUAACUCCGUGCCAGCAGCCGCGGUAAUACGGAGGAGGCAAGCGUUAUCCGGAAUGAUUGGGCGUAAAGCGUCCGCAGGUGGCUGGUCAAGUCUGCUGUUAAAUCCAGUAGCUUAACUACUGAGGGGCAGUGGAAACUGACGARCUAGAGUGCGGUAGGGGCAGAGGGAAUUCCUGGUGUAGCGGUGAAAUGCGUAGAGAUCAGGAAGAACACCGGUGGCGAAAGCGCUCUGCUGGGCCGCAACUGACACUCAGGGACGAAAGCUAGGGGAGCGAAUGGGAUUAGAUACCCCAGUAGUCCUAGCUGUAAACGAUGGAGACUAGGUGUUGCCUGUAUCGACCCGGGCAGUGCCGUAGCUAACGCGUUAAGUCUCCCGCCUGGGGAGUACGCACGCAAGUGUGAA
rnacentral:rRNA from 1 species